ACCUCACAUUUCUCUAAAAAGGAUAGUUAUAACCAUCUAAGGGGCUGUGAAAGAAGGUUUUGUUUUCCUUCUAAAAACUGUCUCCAGCUAAAGGGAAAGGGAACAAAUGAAAGCCUUAUUUAAUACGUUACAUUUGAAAUGCUUUCACUGUUUUUUCGCCCUUCUCUUCUGUAUCUUCAAUAAAAAGUUAAAAGGAUUUGUAAUGGUAUGUUUGCCAUGGUACUAAGCAGUCUGAGGUCUCUGUAUACAAAACCUUCUUUAAAAUUGUUUAAUGUUGGAGAGUGCCUGGGUUAUGUUAAUACCUUUGGCUCUAUGGGCGCAUAUAUUUCAUCAAAAUUAAUAUAUCAAGUCUAGGAUAUCUACUUUAAACACUAGGGUAGGGGGAUAUUACACAUUAUAAUUACAUUUUACCCUACUUAAAACAACUGUCAAAUAUGGUCAGUGAAUCACUGGUUUCAUGACACUUUGUAUUUAUAUUCUUUUCUUGUGUUGUAUCAUUCUACAUUAUUCCAGUUUGUUUCUCUAGAUUGUAAACCCCAAAGGGCAGAGAAAUUUUCACUUGUAUGGCACGGCUCUUCUCCUGGAAAAUGACAGACACACUUGUGAUGAUAUAAUCAAAGGGAACUCCAAAGCAAAUGCCUUCUCCCGUGCCUCAACCCUGUCCUCAAGAUGAAAAGCCAGCUUGAACCUUUCCUCUUGCCUCUGGCAUGUCUUUCCUCUUGCUGCAUGUCCUUUGCCUUUGGUACUUGACCUGAGUGUUGGCCCUGUCCAGAACUUCAAGCAUAAGUUCAUCACAUAAACACUUCCUCUUGGAAGGGUCUGUGAAGGUUUGGUGAACCAGGCUUCUGCAGCUUGGGUGAGUUGUGGUGGUACUGCAGCCUGUGGAGGUUGAGGUUGCCUGGAACAAGACAGGACAUUGUCUUUAGUAGCUCAGUGUAAAAUCACAGAAAAAGAUAAUUUUGUAAUUUCAGGGACAGAAAAUGUUACUGUACUGUUUGAAACUGAAUUUCAAUAGAUUGCCAGAGGGCUGCUUCACACCACAGAAGCUCCCUGAACACAGCUGGGUUAAUCUCCGUGAAUGAAGUGCUGAAAGAAUGGAUGAAUGGACUACAUUUAUGAGAAAUGAACUGCAUUUGAAAAUGGACUAUAUUUGAACCUCUUUCCCUUCCUCCCUGUUCUUCCUGGACAGUUCAAUCCUUUCAGGCAGCUUGUUACAUCAUUGGAUUGUUAUCAAGUGGCUUACGUACAGGGAAGAAGUGCUAGUGAUAUUUUUUUACCGUCUAUAUUGCAGAAUUAUCAUAUCAGUAUCAGCAGAUAAAGGACUCAGUCUUCCUCCUCCACUAAAAUCAAAGGGCAUUUACACAUGAUACUAGACAAGUGAAAGGAUUAAAACAACAACAAAAUAUCCUUGGUGAAGUGAGGCGGUGUGGCGCCCCUCCGUCCCGCAUAGGGCCGAACUUCCCCUAACCCCAACGUGGGCGGAGCCACCGGGUCCGGCGCCCGCCCCUCCGAGGUCACGGCCCCGACCCAGAAGUACAAAAGCCCUCCUGCAGAGCUCAGUGGAGCCCAGGCCGGCAGAGAGAGCAGACGUCCCGGGCCGAGCUCCCACUUGGGAUACAGCCGCAGGCCGCCUGCUACCCCACCGCGCCAGUCGAGCCUACCCCUCGCCAGGUACCCCGAGGAGGACUGGCCAAACCUGCCCCGGGCCCACUACCCUGAGGAGGAGCCAAGCCUGCCCCAUGCCAG